rnacentral:misc_RNA from 1 species
AAACUGCGAUACGUAGUGUGAAUUGCAGGAUUCAGUGAAUCAUCGAAUCUUUGAACGCAAAUUGCGCUGUCGGGCAUUCCUGACAGCAUGCUUGGCUGAGUAUCAUCUGGAUAAAUCACAAAUUUUUUUUUUUGUGGAUAUGAGGUGUCACAUUGGCAACAAUGGGUCCCUUUAAAUACAGUCAGGUGAAGAGGGCUAGCGUCCUUGUAACCACUAGUGUGUCAAUUGUCCACUGGACAUCAAUACACUAUGUCGGUUCAUGGGCAUUCAAGUUAGUGCUCUUUGGCCUGUGAAAGCAUUCUUUUUUGAAACUUUGAUCUCAGCUCAAGCAAGACUACCCGCUGAAUUUAA